AAUCAUCGGGAGCACUGCAUGAAAUUAUUGAUGUCCUUUUGACAACCUGGCAUGAUACCCCUCAGUCCUAAUCAAAGGGCCCAGUUUGAAUUAUUGAACCCAUACCAUUUUCUAAAUUUGCAAAGAUGAUUUCUGAUCAUCUCAUUUAUCUUGUUUAGCAUUGCAGUGAGCAGUCAUCAACAACUUCAACACCAUGGCUGAAUCGUUUUUGUUUAGCAUCGCAGACAACGUUCUGGGGAAGAUCGGCUCUGUCACUCUCCAAGAAAUUGGCUUAGCAUGGGGCGUCAAGACUGAACUGCAAAAGCUGGAAGCCACCUUAACCGCUAUCAAAUCCGUCCUCCUGGAUGCUGAGGAGAAGCAGUGGAAGGAUCGACAGCUACGUGAUUGGUUGGGAAAGCUCAAACAUGUGUGCUAUGAUGUGGAAGAUGUGCUCGAUGAAUUUCGGUACCAAGCUUUGCAGCGCCAAGUGGUGAGUCAUGGCAGCCUUAAAACAAAGGUACUUUGCUUCUUUUCAUCUUCAAAUCCGCUUCCAUUUAGCUUUAAAAUGGGCCAUAGAAUCAAGGAGGUGAGGGAGAGGUUGGAUGGCAUUGCAGCAGAUAGGGCUCGAUUCAAUCUACAGACUUGUAUGGAGAGGGCUCCUAUGGUGUACAGGGAGACCACCCACUCAUUUGUGCAUGCUUCCGAUGUUAUCGGAAGAGAUAAGGAUAAAGAAAAAGUUUUAGAGCUUUUGAUGAAUUCAAGUGAUGAUGAUGAGAGUAUUUCAGUCAUUCCCAUAGUUGGUCUUGGAGGUCUUGGAAAGACUACUCUUGCUAAACUAGUGUAUAAUGAUCAGUGGGUAGUUGGGCAUUUUAAGAAAAGAAUAUGGGUUUGUGUCUCCAAUGACUUUGAUAUGAAAAAGGUGAUUAUAGAUAUUAUUAAAUCAAUCAAAACUACUGUGGAAGGGGGGAGUGGUCUUGGUUUGCCAAACCACAAUGAUUUGAAUAUGGAGCAAGCACAAACUCUUCUUCGUAGGACUUUAGGAAAUGAAAAAAUUUUUCUUGUCUUGGAUGAUAUGUGGAAUGAGGACCGCCAAAAAUGGAUUGAACUCAGAACUUUUUUAAUGAAUGGUGCAAAGGGCAAUAAAAUUGUUGUAACAACGCGGGGUCAUCCGGUGGCUUCGAUCAUGGGCACUGUUCAAGCAUAUAUUUUAGAGGGUCUUCCCCAUGACUAUUGUCUGUCUGUGUUUCUAAAAUGGGCAUUUAAUGAAGGGCAAGAGAAACAACAUCCAAACCUUGUAAAAAUUGGGGACGACAUUGUAAAGAAGUGUAAUGGAGUUCCUUUGGCGGCAAGGACUUUGGGGAGCCUACUUUUCUCAAAAUUUGAGCAAAGGGAUUGGUUAUAUGUGAGAAAUAAUGACAUAUGGAAAUUAGAACAAAAGGAAGGUGAUAUUUUACCUGCUUUAAGGUUGAGUUAUGAACAAUUGCCCUCUUACUUAAAAUGUUGCUUUGCAUACUGCUCAAUUUUUCCCAAGGAUGAAGUGCUUAAUAAUUUAAGUUUGGUUUGCAUGUGGAGUGCACAAGGGCUCAUUGAACCAUCCAAAAAGAAGCAAGAGUUGGACGACAUCGGAAACAGAUAUAUUAAAGAAAUGUUAUCGAGAUCCUUCUUUCAAGACUUUAAGAUCAUCAAUUGUAUUUUACAUUUAAAAUGCAUGAUCUGAUUCAUGAUCUUGCAUCAUUCAUAUCACAAACUGAGUGCACUGUCAUAGAUUGUGUAAGCCCAACUGUCUCUAGAAUGGUUCGCCAUGUGUCAUUUAGUUAUGAUUUGGAUGAGAAAGAAAUCUUAAGUGUUGUUGGUGAGCUAAAUGACAUUCGUACAAUUUAUUUCCCCUUUGUGUUGGAGACAUCACGUGGCGAACCAUUUCUUAAAGCUUGCAUCUCAAAGUUCAAAUGCAUUAAGAUGCUAGAUUUAGCGGGUUCGAACUUUGACACAUUGCCAAAUUCUAUCAGUAAUCUAAAGCAUCUCAGACUUCUCAACCUUAGUGACAAUAAGAGGAUAAAGAAACUUCCAAAUUCAGUAUGCAAGUUGUUUCAUCUGCAAACGUUGUCGCUUUACAAAUGUGAGGGAUUCAAGAAUCUGCCCAAGGAGUUUGGGAACCUCAUCAGUUUGAGGCAUUUAUGGAUCACCACGAAAUAGAGGGCUUUGACAGGGAUAGGAUGCCUGGAAUCUCUUCGUAUUUUAAGGAUUUUCGAAUGUGAAAAUCUAGAAUUUCUGCUUCAAGGGACGCAAAGCCUCACUAGCCUUCAAUCAUUGUCUAUGCGCGGUUGUAGGAGUUUGGAGACUUUGGCACCUAGCAUGAAACAACUGCCCUCGUUAAAGCAUCUCUUGAUUAGCGAUUGCGAAAGGCUCAAUUCACUGGAUGGAAAUGGGGAAGACCACAUUCCAAGGCUCGAGAAUCUACGGUAUUUGUUGCUUUCAAAAUUACCAAAGUUGGAGGCAUUGCCAGAGUGGAUGCGCAACCUCACAUCCCUUGACAAAUUUGUGAUUAAAGGAUGCCCUCAAUUGACUGAAAGAUGCAAGAAAACAACAGGGGAGGAUUGGCAUAAAAUCUCUCAUGUCUUAGAGAUAUAUAUUGAUGGCAUCAAAACACCAGAAAAUUAAGCAAGGAGAUCCACUCAGAGUGAUGAUGAAGCCUAACAUGGAUUUGAGCAAGACACAUUCUUUUUUCCUUUUUUACUUUUUGCCUUUCAAGUAAAAGCAGUUUAUUCAUUUAUGUAAUUUCAUCAAUUGGGGGAGUGUUAUUGAACGAAAGUCUGGAAUCUAUUUAUUUUCCGUAAAUAUAAAGCUUAAGCCACUUCUUUUCAAUA